UACGAAGGGGGCUAGCGUUGCUCGGAAUUAUUGGGCGUAAAGGGUGCGCAGGCGGAUGUAUAAGUCAGAUGUGAAAUCCCCGGGCUUAACCUGGGAAUUGCGUUUGAAACUAUAUGACUAGAGUGUGGUAGAGGGGAGUGGAAUUCCAUGUGUAGCAGUGAAAUGCGUAGAGAUGUGGAAGAACACCGAUGGCGAAGGCAGCUCCCUGGAUUAACACUGACGCUCAUGCACGAAAGCGUGGGGAGCAAACAGG
rnacentral:rRNA from 1 species